rnacentral:tRNA from 1 species
GGAGAGGUGGCCGAGAGGCCGAAGGCAGCUGCCUGCUAAGCAGUUGACGCUUAACCGGCGUCCCUGGGUUCGAAUCCCAGCCUCUCCG